CUACAGGAGGCAGCAGUGGGGAAUAUUGCACAAUGGGCGCAAGCCUGAUGCAGCCAUGCCGCGUGUAUGAAGAAGGCCUUCGGGUUGUAAAGUACUUUCAGCGGGGAGGAAGGGAGUAAAGUUAAUACCUUUGCUCAUUGACGUUACCCGCAGAAGAAGCACCGGCUAACUCCGUGCCAGCAGCCGCGGUAAUACGGAGGGUGCAAGCGUUAAUCGGAAUUACUGGGCGUAAAGCGCACGCAGGCGGUUUGUUAAGUCAGAUGUGAAAUCCCCGGGCUCAACCUGGGAACUGCAUCUGAUACUGGCAAGCUUGAGUCCCGUAGAGGGGGGUAGAAUUCCAGGUGUAGCGGUGAAAUGCGUAGAGAUCUGGAGGAAUACCGGUGGCGAAGGCGGCCCCCUGGACGAAGACUGACGCUCAGGUGCGAAAGCGUGGGGAGCAAACAGGAUUAGAUACCCCCGUAGUC
rnacentral:rRNA from 1 species